GACGAACGCUGGCGGCGUGCUUAACACAUGCAAGUCGAACGGAAAGGCCCUGCUUUUGUGGGGUGCUCGAGUGGCGAACGGGUGAGUAACACGUGAGUAACCUGCCCUUGACUUUGGGAUAACUUCAGGAAACUGGGGCUAAUAACGGAUAGGAGCUCCUGCUGCAUGGUGGGGGUUGGUAAGUUUCGGCGGUUGGGGAUGUACUCGAGGCUUAUCAGCUUGUUGGUGGGGUAGUGGCUUACCAAGGCUUGGACGGGUAGCCGGCCUGAGAGGGUGACCGGCCACAUUGGGACUGAGAUACGGCCCAGACUCCUACGGGAGGCAGCAGUGGGGAAUAUUGCACAAUGGGCGGAAGCCUGAUGCAGCAACGCCGCGUGCGGGAUGACGGCCUUCGGGUUGUAAACCGCUUUCGCCUGUGACGAAGCGUGAGUGACGGUAAUGGGUAAAGAAGCACCGGCUAACUACGUG
rnacentral:rRNA from 1 species